CUCUUUUCUGCUUCGAAAGAAAAAACAACAAGAAAUCUCCCCCUUUUCUCCUCCGCAAUAAAACCCCAUUUCUCUCAAACAACUAAACGUAAUCCCCACUUAAAAACAUCACCUUUCACUGUAAAAUCCAUCUCAUCACCAGCAACUAACACACAAUUACCAGCAAUGAAGGAAUUAUAUCAAAUGAUUAUGGGACCAGGAAUUGCACCUGAAGGACUUGGAUUAAUUUCCGAGAGAGAUAUAUCAAGUCAUUUUAGAAAUUCCCAAAAGUUUAGGAAAUUCAGAUUUAGUAGCUUCAAAAUUUGGAAAUUCUGGUGGUGGAUGAAAACCUUGGGAUCUGUUGCUCUGUUUACUGGUCUAGUUACCUUCAAAUCAUAUUAUAGAGAACUGAUUCUACCUUAUAUUUGCAGGUUUUGGGGGUUGGGAACCUGAAAUCUGUAUUAAAAGUGAAAAUAAAUUAUGGGUUAAUUUAAUUUUCAUAGUUUGAUGGAUCAAUUAUGGGAUUUUGAGGUCAAACAAAGAAAUUUCCAUGACAUAAGCAACUCUUGAGGUUCAGAACCGCCUUAUUGAUAUAUUUUUGCAUUGAGUAUUUGAUUUGCAGGAAAUGCCAAACUAUUGUUAGAUUGCCUGUGAAGUCAAUCUUAUGGGUCAGGUGUGUUUAUCGAGGGCCUGGUGCAAGUUAUUGAAAGCCUCUGAUUUUGUCGGAAAGCAUUUAAAUCAUGCAAUUGUAAAAAAAUAAGAUUCAGUGUGAUAACGCACUCUGGUUAUGGUUAUCGUAUAUGAUCCAUUAUUGUCUACAUUGAGUAACCAUGUUGGUACUGACUAUCCUUUGAGAAAUCAAAGUCCGGGGAUAUAAGAUUUGGGAACUUCUGAUGGCUUGAUUUGUGUAAGCCCCAUUAGCGAGAAUGAUGUUGUCCUUUGGAGUCCAGCUGCUAAGGAGUUGAAGGAAGUUUCAACUGGACUAAUCGAGUCAGCGAAUGAAUUUUGGUACUUAAUCAUGGCUUUGGUUGUGAUUAUGAGAAUGGAGAUUUUAAGGUUGUAAAUCUUGUGGGAUAUCAGAGUGAACAUCUUUGUAAAGUUCAGGUAAAUGCACUCGAAUCUAAUUCACGGAGAAGACUUGGUAAUAUACCUUACAUUGGAUAGCAGAAACUGAUUCUGACGCCGAGACAGUCAUAUUCUCUUUUAGUUUCAAGGGUGACACAUUCGACGACAUAUUUGUGUUCAUAAGGAGAGUUCCUUUGCUUGCAUGGUUCUAUUGGCUGUCACAGUGAUAUAUGGGAGACGACUGAAUCUUGGGCUGAACUCUUUACCAUUAACAAAGUGACUAUCUGUAAGCUCUCUAGACCGUUGGUUCCACUUCAGUUUGUCAAGAAUAGUGAAGUUCUAUUAGGAUAUGGUAGUUGGUACCACUUCAGUUUCCGAAGAAUGAUAAAGUUUUAUUUAUAUGGCACUGAUGUUUAUUAUCAUCUGGAUUUGUAUGACUUCAAGCUUGGAACAUCCAUAAAUCUCAAAUUUAUUGUCUAUGCGGAGAGCCUUGCUAUGCUUAAUUCGGGUAAUUAUGUUGCGCUACCAGAAAUAGAAGACUCCAAAGCUAGCGCAAGAACAGUAGAUCUGGAGAACUUUAAUUCAGGUGCUCAUGUUGGCGGAGUACAAAUGGCCUUCGUAGAUGAUGAUGACUCAGAAGAUGAAGACAUCGCAAAAGGACUUCCUGUAAGUCCCAAAUCAGUUAUGGAGUUAAGGAAACAAGUCCUCAAAAGAGUUGUGAAACUUGGAUGGAUAUAAUUGUUAUGUGGAAAAAUAGAUGGAUCUUAAAAGAAGAAAACUAGAUUUGGAAACAAGAGAGCUCAAUCUCGAAGUUCGUGAACAAAAAGAUCAGCAUGUGCAACAACGAAUCUUUUGCAGUUGAAGUGGCGGCAAAUGAGUGCUAAUGAGAUUGCAGAAAAGCCUACAGUUUCUGACAUGAGCAUUUGGUGAUGUCAAUAAUGGUAAAGAAGAUGGCGAAGACCGGAAUGACGUAGAACAAGAAGAGCAUAUCAAGAACCGAACGAAGAAAGUGAAGACAAUGCGAGUAUCUCAUACAUCCUUAAUCUUUUGUCACAUAGUUUCCCAUAUCUUUGCCUAGUUCUUUGAAAGUGUGUAUGAGUACUUUUGAGUAUCUUACACACUUACAUAGAUUUUCUUUCUAUGUCGUUACACUAUUGCUGUUUUUUUAUAUCUUUGAAAACUACAGAACAAUGUUCGUCUUUAGGGGAAAACUUGAUACAUUUAUAUUCAAUUUAAGUGCAGGUUGCAACAUAAUGAUACGAUGAACAAUGUUCAGUAGUUAUCUCUAGCUUCUCUUGAACUAGCAGUUUAAAA